GCGGGGCCCACCCUGCGGGAUCGCAAAACCAUAUCCUCUUCUUCCCCUGGCACGGCGGCCGCGUCCGUCGCCUCCCUCCACCGCCCUUCCCCCUCCCCUCUCCCAGACGCUUCUAGAAACUUCCAGAGCCCCGCCCCGCCGCCUCCGGUGACGCGGCGCGAUGUACGGCCUCCUGACCUCGCCGUGCCCUCGGGCCCCGCUGCUCCGCGCCCUCCCGAGCCCGUCCGCCCGCGCGCUCCCGAGAACCCUAGCGUUCCCCGCGCGCCCGGUCCCCCGCGGCCUCCGCCUGUCCCCGCCCCCGCGCGCCGCCGCGGAGGCGUCGGCGGCGGCCACGGCGCUGGGCGGGCUGCUGUCCUCGCCGCUCUCGGCGCUGGAGGCCGGCUUGCGGAGCGUCAACCUCGCGCCCCUGCGCGCCCCCGUGGCCGCGGCCAUGUCGGCGGCCGUGCGGUGGCUCGGCGUGUACCGCGAGGUGCUGCUCGUCGGCGUGCUGCUCUCCUGGUUCCCCAACAUCCCCUGGGACCGCCAGCCCUUCUCGGCCCUGCGCGACCUCUGCGACCCCUUCCUCGCCCUCUGCCGGGAGGUCAUGCCGCCGGUGUUCGGGCGCAAGCUCGACCUCAGCCCGCUCGUUGCGUUCAUGGCGAUUGACAUCAUUAUUAUGAUCCUGCGCCCGCAGCCACGCAUGUGAUGGCUUUCUCCGGCAACGCAAAAUCUGUCUUGAAGCUUAACUUUCUUCAGCACGCCAUUAUGUGCCUGUCUCGUGGCGAGGCAACACAGGAGGGUUUGUUGGUGCCAUGGCUGUGCUGAGCCACUUCAGCUGAUUCCGACUAGUGAUGAGAAUGAUGUUGCAGGGAUUGGAGAAUGGUGGUUGGUAUAUUAGGUUUUGACUAUGUGAACGAUGGAUGGAUCAUAGGCUAUUUUUGGUCAUCAGAUGGCAAAGAAAGGUGCUGCUUUAUUCUAAGGCAAAGAAAGUGGUGGUUGGAUGGAUUAGCUUUGGUACCCCAGUAUAGCUGUUACAAUGGUAGUAGUGCAAUAUGAAUGAUUUCGAGACGUCAGUAGACAAGUGUAGCUUUAUGCUAGAACUUCUUCUAUUUGCGAUAUUUGAUGGUUGCAGUAGUCUGUAGACUGAAUUUGUUGGCUACAUAUUGCAGUUUUGCUCUGUAUCCAUCCAUUAUUCCAUUAUAUUGUCUGGCAGUAUAAUUUGCACUUCUUUUUGGUAAGACCCAGAUAAUUGGAUCUGGAGCGUAAAAGUCAAAGAGCCCAUUUGAUGAUUUGAA